GAUCAUGGCUCAGGAUGAACGCUAGCUACAGGCUUAACACAUGCAAGUCGAGGGGCAGCGGGAUUGAAGCUUGCUUCAAUUGCCGGCGACCGGCGCACGGGUGAGUAACGCGUAUCCAACCUUCCGUACACUCAGGGAUAGCCUUUCGAAAGAAAGAUUAAUACCUGAUGGUAUCUUAAGCACACAUGUAAUUAAGAUUAAAGAUUUAUCGGUGUACGAUGGGGAUGCGUUCCAUUAGGUAGUAGGCGGGGUAACGGCCCACCUAGCCAACGAUGGAUAGGGGUUCUGAGAGGAAGGUCCCCCACAUUGGAACUGAGACACGGUCCAAACUCCUACGGGAGGCAGCAGUGAGGAAUAUUGGUCAAUGGACGAGAGUCUGAACCAGCCAAGUAGCGUGCAGGAUGACGGCCCUAUGGGUUGUAAACUCCUUUUACCUGGGAAUAACGGGCGCUACGCGUAGCGCUGUGCAUGUACCGGGAGAAUAAGCAUCGGCUAAUUCCGUG
rnacentral:rRNA from 1 species